GGCAGCAGUGGUCGGUCUCUUGGACAGUUCCCGCGAGCCAACACCCUGGGGGGGCUGCUCCCACCUCCUGCUGGAUGGUGGAGAGGAGCGAGAGGACAGAGGUGGUGCUGGGCGGUACUGGGGGCUGCUGGGCCUGGUCUGUUUUCCCCUGGCAGUGGUUUUCCAGGUGUCUGACGAUGCCCCUGUGCUGACACUCUGGGGGGGCCACUCCCACCUCCUGAAGGAUGGUGGAGGGGAGUAGGAGGAUGGUGCCCGGGGGGGCUGUGGGCUGCUGGGCCGGUCACGCUUUCCCCAGGCAGCAGUGGUCGGUCUCUUGGACAGUUCCUGCGAGCCAACACCCUGGGGGGGCUGCUCCCACCUCCUGCUGGAUGGUGGAGAGGAGCGAGAGGACAGAGGUGGUGCUGGGCGGUACUGGGGGCUGCUGGGCCUGGUCUGUUUUCCCCUGGCAGUGGUUUUCCAGGUGUCUGAAGAUGCCCCUGUGCUGACACUCUGGGGGGGCCACUCCCACCUCCUGAAGGAUGGUGGAGGGGAGUAGGAGGAUGGUGCCCGGGGGGGCUGUGGGCUGCUGGGCCGGUCACGCUUUCCCCAGGCAGCAGUGGUCGGUCUCUUGGACAGUUCCUGUGAGCCAACACCCUGGGGGGGCUGCUCCCACCUCCUGCUGGAUGGUGGAGGGGUGGGGGAGGGCAUUUGGGGAGCCUGGGGGCGGCCAGGUCUGUCAUGCUGGUGGGGCCGCUGCUGUCCCUUGAAGGAUGGUGGAGGGGAUGGAGAGGGCAGUGGAGGGGGUUGGGGGCGCCACUCCCGUUCCCUGAAGGAUCGUGGAGGGGAAUGGGAGGGUGGUGACGGUGCCUGGGGAGCUGGGGGGCUGCUGGAGCGGUCGCGCUUCCCCCAGGCAGUGGUUGUCCGUCUGUUGGACAUUUUCCCCAAGUCUGCACUCUGCGGGGAUUGCUUCCCUCCCCUGAUGGAUGGUGGAGGGGAGGGGGAAGGCAGAGGUGGUGCUGGGAGGGGCUGAGGGCUGCUGGGCCUCUCAGGCUUCCCUGAGGCAGCGGUUGUCUGGGUGCUGGACGAUGCCCCCGAGCCGACACCCUGAGGGGACCGCUCCCGUCCCCUGAAGGAUGGUGGAGGAGGAGGAGGCAGAGGUCGGGGGGGCGGCGUUGGUGGCCGGGGGCUGCUGGGCCUGUUGCUCAUCUGCCGGGGAGCCGUUGUUUCAGUGCCGGCCGAUGACCGCAAGCCUCCACCCCGGGCAGGUUCCUUCCGUCCCCUGAAGGAUGGUGGAGGGGGACGGGGGGGUGGUGUUGAUGCCCGGGGGGGCCGGGGGCUGCUGGGCCUGUCGCUCAUCUGCUGGGGAGCCGUUGUUUCAGUGCUGGCCAAUGACUGCGAGCCUCUACCCCGGGCAGGUUCCUUCCGUCCCCUGAAGGAUGGUGGAGG
ensembl:lncRNA